AUAGACUGUUCUUCCAGUGCCUUAAACUCGAGUUUAUGGUUUUUUGGGUUUAAUUAUAAUUUUAUAGAUAUAUUUUAUAGAACAUUCCUUUUGCGCUUUAAACUCGAGUAAGCAUUAAGAAAGCAUGUUUCCAAUUUGACAUUUUGUCAGUUUUUGAUAAUAAAUUCUCACUUUAGUCAGAUAAGCAUUCAUACUCCCAAAUUUAGAAGCAAAACAACUUCAUACACACCACACAAUUGGGUUUAGGUCUCAGACAAAUAUGUUAAAGUCCAUUAUUGUAAGCAGGGUUAAAUGUUAAACACCGAAAUGAAAAUUAAACUAGAUUUUUUACUGCAACGGGAUUUUAUGUACCUUCAACUUCUCAAAUAAGGAAAAAUCAAACAAAUAAGUAAGUAUCAGUAUAAAAAAUUUAAAAUAUCUUUAUACUUGUAUACAAUCUUAUUCAUAACAUUCUAACAAACCUCGAAAAUCAUCGAAAAUCGAAAACUUUAUGACUUACGCCGUGAUAAAAGCGAAGAAUUACAAAAACGCUAAAAAUAAAUAAUUACUAAUUAAUAAUGAAAAUACAUUCAUACACAGCUUUCUAUAAACACCUUAAAUUUACCGCUAAGCCUAUCUACUCACUGAUAAGACGUAGCGACGUUUUCUACAUGUUUACAAAACACUGAAGGCUUUACGAUCUUUAUGAUUCACAAAGCUAAUAAAACGAUAAAUAAAGCUAAAUACAACAACAAUAAAUGUAUUAAUUAGAGCAACGGCAACUGAAUUAUGCUAAUUAGUUUAAAAAAUGAUAAUAUAUCAGACUAACGUCGCAAGGUAGCGCGGUCGGUAACUAAGAAACUGCUGAGAACAUAGAGAUUGAAAGAAAACAAAAAAAAAUAUGAAUAAAUAAAUAAUACAGUACAUUUUUCCAAAAAAUUAAAAUAAAAAAAAUGCUGUAGUUGAGGUUCUAGGCUAAUUUCACUAAAUAAAAACGUUUUGAGGUGUUUGUGUUGAAAUAAUACAUCUGCGAUCUUCAUUGCAUAAUACUAAAACAUAUGGAAGACAGGCAAAAAAAUCAUCACCUCAUCAGCGAACGACAGAUAUCAAACAAAAUGACAUAUCUAUUACUAUUUUAUAUAGCACACUACUGCAUAUACAUACAGUAGUACAUAAAUUAGUUGAUACCUAUUUAUUAGUAUGAACUUUUGUAAGCUUUAGAAAUCAGUUCAAAGCUAUGAGGUAAAAAAAGAAUUAUGCGCAUUUAGGGUGAAACACGCCAACAAAACGUGCUGCUACCGAAUCAUACCCGACUGCUGAACCGCCUGCUAUGAUAGCUAGGCAAAGAAAAAGAAGAGCAAAAUACACCAAAACGCUAUUUAUAAAUUAAACAGACAAGAAAUAUUAUUGUACAAGUAUAAUAAGUAUGUGUAACAAAACAAAAAUAUGUUAUUAUAAAUGCUGACAGACAACCAAAGCAUACGGAAAAGACAUGCCCACAGCUGUGUUAUGUACAUGAAAGGGAGAAAAAGGUUAAAACAAUAAAAAAAUUUAACCCUGUAUACCCAAAGGGUUGUUGUACCGUA